AACUAACGCUGGCGGCGUGCCUAACACAUGCAAGUCGUACGAGAAAGUUGGCUUCGGCCGAUGAGUACAGUGGCGCACGGGUGAGUAACGCGUGGAUAAUCUGCCCUUAAGUGUGGAAUAACGUACCGAAAGGUGCGCUAAUACCGCAUAAUGCCUGGCAACAUAAGUUGUCCGGCCAAAGAAGGCCUCUGCUUGCAAGCUUUCGCUAAAGGAUGAGUCCGCGUACCAUUAGCUAGUUGGUGGGGUAACGCCUACCAAGGCGACGAUGGUUAGCUGGUCUGAGAGGAUGAUCAGCCACACUGGAACUGAGACACGGUCCAGACUCCUACGGGAGGCAGCAGUGAGGAAUAUUGCGCAAUGGGGGCAACCCUGACGCAGCAACGCCGCGUGAGUGAGGAAGGUUUUCGGACUGUAAAGCUCUGUCGAGCGGGAAGAAGUGUACCAUGGCUAAUAUCCAUGAUAUUUGACGGUACG
rnacentral:rRNA from 1 species